CGUGCAAGCUGGCUUGUCGCUGCGGAUCGAUUCCGAUCGAGACGGGGAGGAAAGUCCGGGCAACAUAGAGCGCCAUACUUCCUAACGGGAAGGGGCGAUGCUGGUGACGGCAUCGCAACAGAAAGUACCACAGAAAAUAUACCGCCCCCUGCCUGGCAAGGGGUAAGGGUGAAAUGGUGGGGUAAGAGCCCACCGCUCCGUUGGUGACAGGGGAGGCACGGUAAACCUUAUGGGUUGAAAGAUCAAAUAGGUUCCGCCGGGAGACUUUGUCUCACAGAGAGUUGCUCGCUUUCAUGCGGAACGGGUAGAUCGAUGGAUCCCGACUGCGAAGUCGGGACUAGAUAAAUGACAAGCUCCCUUGGCAGCAGGUUUAGACCUUUAGCCUGCCAGGGUGACAGAACCCGGCUUACAGGCUUGCACGUUUU
rnacentral:RNase_P_RNA from 1 species